AUGAAAACUCCAGCUGCAGUUUCCCUUGGGUCAUGGCUGAUGUGGACACAUGCCAGGUGUGCACAGCAGGCAAACUGCACAUCGCCGUUUACAGCUGGUCUGCAGUCCUCAAUAUCUGCUCUCUCCUGCCACUCCACACCUGUCCUGGAUGAAGUUAAACAACAUCUGCCUCUUGCCCAAAUGUUCAAUAAGGCCAUUUGUAAGCCAAUGAAGCAAAUAGUAAAAGCCCAGCUGUGUUCUGCAGCCUACAGCAACAUCUCCAACAACAAACACAGUGACUCUCCCUUUUCCUCUGAAGACCACUCAAGAAAUAAACUUAAUUGGGGGAGAGAUCAACAGUCAUUCAGCAUUUCAAGGAUGUGAACAACAUUGCCAGAGUGAUUUAUCAGUCUCUAAAUAUCUGCCUUUUAUACAAUAAAUGAUCCUUAGCUGAGGUUUUUAAACUCUUG
rnacentral:lncRNA from 1 species